rnacentral:rRNA from 1 species
AUAUAAUUAAGCGGAGGAAAAGAAACUAACCAGGAUUCCUUUAGUAACGGCGAGUGAACAAGGAUGAGCCCAUCACCGAAUCCUUCUUGGCCUUCAGGUAAGGAAUUGUGGUGUAAAGGACAGUCUUUGCUAUAGUAUCGUUAGUCCAAGUUCUCUUGAAUGGGGCUCCCAUAGCGGGUGUUAGGCCUCUAGUGACUAAUUGAUAUUGUAGCUUUGUCUGUCCCGAGAGUCGGGUUGCUUGAGAUCGCAGCCCUAAGACGGGUGGUAAACUCCAUCCAAGGCUAAAUACCGUCGCGAGACCGAUAGCGCACAAGUA